GGAACCUUCGACGUCCACCGACGUUUUAGCUUCUUCCCUCGUAGCAUACAUAUCGGUCCUGUCCUCCAGGGAAAUCGUAAGAUUUAUUUACGCCACUCUCAUCACGGAAUCAAUAUAAGAAAAGAUAAGGGAAGAAAACAGGAAGACGAAAAGGAAGAGGAGGAAGAAUGAACGAAGCGAAUACGUAGAGUACGUAAUGUGCACGUACGAAGGAAGCAAGCGGAGGAAGAAGCAGCGAACGAACCAACCAACGAAGCAAGGAACAAACCAAGCAAGCAGCAAGCAACCAACCAAGCUCUACCUAGCGGGGAGAGAUGCGCGAGCUUGUUCGCGCUCCUUAUAUGGCCAUCCGCGCAGUCUGAACUCGGCAAUGCGCUUCCAGAAGAGAUUCUCACAAAUUUACGCGGUACUACGUUUCCAUCGCUACUUUCUCUCCCCCGCUAGAAGAUACUUUUUGCCUGCGCUACGACGAUACACACACACGG